ACCUCCUCAAUUUUAUGCGCGCUUUUCAACUUACCCAAACUAGCAACUGAAAAACACCUCAAAAGUGUGAACUGAAGCGGCGAUUCUCUUCACAUUAAAAAAAGAGAAGAGCAAAAUUCUGUUCACUUGACUGCCUCAAAUUAUUACGGCCAUUGAUGAGCUAUAGAAGCAGAUUUAACAUUUUAAAUCAGUAAGGUAAAAUACUAGUCGAUCCCCUUUUUAUUUGUCACAUUGAAUUGAUGAAUUCUAUUUAGUAUAAAUAAAUAAUCGUAUUAAAUUAUUUUAACUAAGUAUUUGUUUGAUCCAGUGUUGGUUUGGAUAGUAGAAGAUGGAGGCUCUGAAGAAAGUAUAUGCGGAGAUAAUUCUGAAUAUGGCAAAGGAGGCGGCAGCUCGGGUC
rnacentral:lncRNA from 1 species